rnacentral:lncRNA from 1 species
GGAUCGAUUAACAUACAUGAAUAAAUUUCAUUAAUAGAUCUGAAAUCAAUAUCAAGGAAGGAAGAUGGUUACUUUAGCAGCUUUUUUUUUCUUACUCGAAUCGGAUCCUACGGAUGUCUGAGAUUUCUGAUGUAGCUGCACAAAUAUUCAAUCUCUGUUGGUAUCUAUAUGGAGAUGAUCUGAUCAGAGCACCGAGGCCAUCGGAGUGCUAGCACCUUGUAGACCUCACUCCUUUUGCUUGGAUCUGGAUCAUCUUCUUUUAGAUCUUAAAAAUUGGACUACAGCACGAAUCCUUCACGCUGAUCUGAAUGAACAAGACCAUCAAAAAGAGAAGAAAACAUCCUUUACUUCUCUUCCCCUCUCUUUGAUUUCUCUCUUUCAGAUCUCAUCCAGAGGGAGAAGGGGUGUUAGGAGAUGUCAGAAGGGGAGGGAGAGGUGGCGUGCGGCAAGAAAGAAAUCACAUCUCUUCUGGAACAACCAUUCAGCACACGCCCAUUCCUCUCAUCUUUUAUUUGUCGCAUUAAUAAAAAGAUUCCAAACAAACACCAUGCCCAACCAGGGAAGGAUUGACCCAAUUUGAAU